ACACAUGCAAGUCGAACGGUAACAGGUCUUCGGAUGCUGACGAGUGGCGAACGGGUGAGUAAUGCAUCGGAACGUGCCCAGUCGUGGGGGAUAACGCAGCGAAAGCUGUGCUAAUACCGCAUACGAUCUAUGGAUGAAAGCGGGGGAUCGCAAGACCUCGCGCGAUUGGAGCGGCCGAUGUCAGAUUAGCUAGUUGGUGGGGUAAAGGCCCACCAAGGCGACGAUCUGUAGCUGGUCUGAGAGGACGACCAGCCACACUGGGACUGAGACACGGCCCAGACUCCUACGGGAGGCAGCAGUGGGGAAUUUUGGACAAUGGGCGCAAGCCUGAUCCAGCAAUGCCGCGUGCAGGAAGAAGGCCUUCGGGUUGUAAACUGCUUUUGUACGGAACGAAAAGGUCUGGGUUAAUACCCUGGGCUCAUGACGGUACCGUAAGAAUA
rnacentral:rRNA from 1 species